UCGGAUCCAAUAUGUUCAGAUAGAAUAAUUGAACAGGGUUAUAGUUAUCAAAUUUAUAUUAAAAUUUUAAUUAUCUAUAAAUAUUAUGAAUUUUAAUUAACUUGAAACUAUAUAAGAUCAAAGUCCAACUAAUUUGGUAGAGGGUUAUUAUCGAUGAACUAAUCUGAGUCUGUGUUUUUUUGAGUGAGGCAUUUCAUCUUCGUCUGGCUACGUAGUACCAGUUUAGUUUUUUUUUUUUUGCAGAAUAAAAAUCUAAAACCUACAUAUUUAUGUUUUUUUUUAAUAUUAACAUAUUUAUGUUUUGCCCCAUAUUCUUCUUCUUAUCAUUAUACUAUAACUAUUUAGUUAUAAAUAUAGGGAUUUAUUGAUUUUAUAAGACUUACCAAUGCAUAUUCUACUAAAUAAAUGUACGUUUAGUAAUGAAAUCAAAUAUAAUCAGCUUGCCAAUAGUCUGAAACGACUCAGCUUAUAGUAUUCGUAUUCUACUCGUUCAAAAAUAUUUAUAUUUUCCAGUCGAAAAAGAGCCUAUGAUGACCAUAAGUUUAAGCUUACGAAGUGUGUAAAAUUUUAUUGAGACAAUGAGCUACAUACUCAAAGUGGAGGUCCAAAUCGAAAGAUUGCCUAGACGUGAAAUAACUGAUUGGACCUCCGCAUACAUUUAGCUAUAUUGAUUUACUUUACACAUAUUCUAUAAAUGCCUAGUAAAAUAAAUAGAGAUAACUAGAUCUCGAUCUGUGCAACCGCACAGAUUUUUAUUUUUAUUUAUUUUUAUAUAAAUAUUUUAUUUUCAAUUCUAAAUUGGUAUAUAUUAUAAUAUAUAUGUGUUUAUCAAUUUUUAAAACAUAAUAAGUUUACUGUAUAUUUUUUUAUUGAAUAAAUUGUUUCAAAC
rnacentral:lncRNA from 1 species